AGAGUUUGAUCCUGGCUCAGGACGAACGCUGGCGGCGCGCCUAACACAUGCAAGUCGAACGAGCGAGAGAGAGCUUGCUUUCUCGAGCGAGUGGCGAACGGGUGAGUAACGCGUGAGGAACCUGCCUCAAAGAGGGGGACAACAGUUGGAAACGACUGCUAAUACCGCAUAAGCCCACGACCCGGCAUCGGGUAGAGGGAAAAGGAGCAAUCCGCUUUGAGAUGGCCUCGCGUCCGAUUAGCUAGUUGGUGAGGUAACGGCCCACCAAGGCGACGAUCGGUAGCCGGACUGAGAGGUUGAACGGCCACAUUGGGACUGAGACACGGCCCAGACUCCUACGGGAGGCAGCAGUGGGGAAUAUUGCACAAUGGGGGAAACCCUGAUGCAGCGACGCCGCGUGGAGGAAGAAGGUCUUCGGAUUGUAAACUCCUGUUGUUGAGGAAGAUAAUGACGGUACUCAACAAGGAAGUGACGGCUAACUACGUGCCAGCAGCCGCGGUAAAACGUAGGUCACAAGCGUUGUCCGGAAUUACUGGGUGUAAAGGGAGCGCAGGCGGGAAGACAAGUUGGAAGUGAAAUCCAUGGGCUCAACCCAUGAACUGCUUUCAAAACUGUUUUUCUUGAGUAGUGCAGAGGUAGGCGGAAUUCCCGGUGUAGCGGUGGAAUGCGUAGAUAUCGGGAGGAACACCAGUGGCGAAGGCGGCCUACUGGGCACCAACUGACGCUGAGGCUCGAAAGUGUGGGUAGCAAACAGGAUUAGAUACCCUGGUAGUCCACACUGUAAACGAUGAUUACUAGGUGUUGGAGGAUUGACCCCUUCAGUGCCGCAGUU
rnacentral:rRNA from 1 species